UUUUUUCUUCGCAUUUUUUCAUUUUACGAUAUCGUUUCAAGUGCAAUUCAUAAUCGUUCAUAAUAUUAUUUUGUGUAAUUGUAUGCAUGUAAAAAGUGCAAUAAAAAAAUAAAAUAAUAUAUUAUGUAACUUAUAAACACUAAAUACUCACGUUUGAAUUUUUCCCUUCAACAAACACGUCAAGUCGGAUCGAUGUGAAUGUAAAUACGUGUACAAGUUGGCGACUGGCGAGUUAAAUAUCAAAUUCAACGCUGCCCACUGAUGACGCCCGACAUGAACACAUGAUUUUGACAUUUAUAUUCCGGCCCAUGAAAGAACCAGUUCUGCACACAUAGACUGACAGCAUCAUCCUAUGUUGAACAACGCUAACAUUAUCGGUAUAUAGAAUUGGUGGAGAUGCGCAAACUUGGACAUAUUUUGGUCACUACCUAGAUGCGUUCUCUUUUGGGUCGAAAUAUAAAUGAAUAGAUCACAAUUUAUUAUAAGUAAGGUUUGGAUUUGAAGGUAAUAUAUAAACAAUAAAAAUGCACUUAAAAUGUGAAAACAAUCAAUUAUUGACAAUCUUAAAUCUACUCAAGAACACAUUUAAAUUUAUAGUAUGUAUACUUAAAUAAACGUUAAAUUAAAUUUAUCAAAAUGUCUAACAGAGAUAAUAAAGCAUACCCAAAAGAUAAUUUUAAACAUAAAAUCGACAAUGUGUCAUAUUCACAAACUUUUAUCGAUUUAAAUUGUAAAUACAUAUUAUGAUCAAUUGAUAAUUAAACACAAACAAUAAAAAAUGGAACCAAUAAAAAUAUUUACAAAAGGCAAAAAUAUUCAAAAACAAUGUUUAUCCAAUACCUUAGAAAUUAAAUGAAACACAUUUCAUGAAAAGAAUUAUUUUUCUAUCAUUAUCAAAAUAAUAAGGCAUUUGUCUUCAAAUCC